UAUGGUGUUCCCUAAAGCACCAGGUGUAUGGUGUCCCCUAAAGCACCAGGUGUAUGGUGUCCCCUAAAGCACCAGGUGUAUGGUGUCCCCUAAAGCACCAGGUGUAUGGUGUCCCCUAAAGCACCAGGUGUAUGGUGUCCCCUAAAGCACCAGGUGUAGAGG